rnacentral:rRNA from 1 species
AUACGUAGGGGGCGAGCGUUGUCCGGAAUGAUUGGGCGUAAAGGGCGCGUAGGCGGCGCGGUAAGUCUGGAGUGAAAGUCCUGCUUUCAAGGUGGGAAUUGCUUUGGAUACUGCCGCGCUUGAGUGCAGGAGAGGUUAUCGGAAUUCCCGGUGUAGCGGUGAAAUGCGUAGAGAUCGGGAGGAACACCAGUGGCGAAGGCGGGUAACUGGACUGCAACUGACGCUGAGGCGCGAAAGUGUGGGGAGCAAACAGGAUUAGAUACCCUGGUAGCCCACACUGUAAACGAUGAAUGCUAGGUGUAAGAGGUAUCGACCCCUUUUGUGCCGGAGUCAACACAAUAAGCAUUCCGCCUGGGGAGUACGGCCGCAAGGUUGAUACUCAAAUGAAUUGGCGGGG